rnacentral:rRNA from 1 species
AUGGCGGCGCGCGCCAUCGUCGUCCUGGUCUCGCUCAUCCUCGCGGUGGUCGCCGGCGGCGCGUCGGCGCAGCUGUCGUCGGGCUUCUACUCCCGCUCGUGCCCGGGCAUGCUCAAAGCCGUGCGCUCGGCGCUGCGGCCGGCGAUCGUCAGGGAGCGGCGCGUGGGCGCCUCCAUCGUCCGCCUCUUCUUCCACGACUGCUUCGUCCAGGGCUGCGACGCCUCGCUGCUGCUGGACGACGCGUCGGGCCUGCGCGGCGAGAAGAACGCCAAGCCCAACAAGAACUCAGUCAGGGGGUUUGAGGUCAUCGACGCCAUCAAGGCGGCCGUCGAGAAGGAGUGUCCCGGCGUCGUCUCCUGCGCCGACAUCCUCGCCAUCGCCGCCGAGGAGAGCGUCGUCUUGCUGGGUGGCCCGAGCUGGGAGGUGAAGAUGGGGCGGAGGGACUCAACGACGGCGAGCUUCAGCGGCGCCGAGAACAACAUCCCGCCGCCUACGUCGGGGCUCGCAAACCUUACGUCGCUCUUCGCCGCUCAGGGGCUCUCCCAGAAAGACAUGGUCGCGCUCUCAGGAGCCCACACGGUCGGCCAAGCACGCUGCACAUUCUUUCGGGACCACAUCUACAACGACACAAACAUCGACUCCGGCUUCGCCAGGAGCCGCCAGUCAGGCUGCCCUCGUACCGCCGGCUCCGGCGACAACAACCUGGCGCCACUGGACCUGCAGACCCCGAGCACCUUCGAGAACGACUACUACAAGAACCUCGUCCAAAAGAGGGGCAUCCUGCACUCGGACCAGGAGCUCUUCAACGGCGGCGCCGCCGACGCGCUGGUCCAGCAGUACAUCGGCAGCCAGAGCGCCUUCUUCAAGGACUUCGUGGUGGGGAUGAUCAAGAUGGGGGACAUCACGCCGCUGACUGGGUCCAGCGGACAGAUCAGGAAGAACUGCAGGAGGAUCAACUAA